ACUCAAAGGAAUUGACGGGGACCCGCACAAGCAGCGGAGCAUGUGGUUUAAUUCGAAGAUACGCGAAAAACCUUACCAAGGCUUGACAUGUACUUGAAUAGCCGCGAAAUCGGUGAAGUGAAGCAAUUUACAGGUACACAGAUGGUGCAUGGUUGUCGUCAGCUCGUGUCGUGAGAUGUUCGGUUAAGUCCGAUAACGAGCGCAACCCUUGUCGUUAGUUGCCAUCAUUAAGUUGGGAACCCUAGCGAGACUGCCGUAGAUAAUACGGAGGAAGGCGGGGAUGACGUCAAAUCAUCAUGCCUCUUACGCCUUGGGCUACACACGUGCUACAAUGGCCAUUACAAAGAGACGCAAGCUGGUAACAGUAAGCAAAUCUCAAAAAAGUGGUCUCAAUUCGAAUUGAGGGCUGCAACCCGCCCUCAUGAAGUCGGAGUUGCUAGUAAUCGCAAAUCAGAACGUUGCGGUGAAUGCGUUCCCGGGUCUUGUACACACCGCCCGU
rnacentral:rRNA from 1 species